UAUCUAGGGGGAAAUCCUGUACGUUUUAUGUGGAUAUAUUCAAAAUCAUAAGCGUAUAGCUUUUCCCCUUUGGUG
rnacentral:pre_miRNA from 1 species